GAUGAACGCUGGCGGCGUGCCUAAUACAUGCAAGUCGAGCGAACAGACGAGGAGCUUGCUCCUCUGACGUUAGCGGCGGACGGGUGAGUAACACGUGGAUAACCUACCUAUAAGACUGGGAUAACUUCGGGAAACCGGAGCUAAUACCGGAUAAUAUAUCGAACCGCAUGGUUCAAUAGUGAAAGACGGUUUUGCUGUCACUUAUAGAUGGAUCCGCGCCGCAUUAGCUAGUUGGUAAGGUAAAGGCUUACCAAGGCGACGAUGCGUAGCCGACCUGAGAGGGUGAUCGGCCACACUGGAACUGAGACACGGUCCAGACUCCUACGGGAGGCAGCAGUAGGGAAUCUUCCGCAAUGGGCGAAAGCCUGACGGAGCAACGCCGCGUGAGUGAUGAAGGUCUUCGGAUCGUAAAACUCUGUUAUUAGGGAAGAACAAAUGUGUAAGUAACUAUGCACGUCUUGACGGUACCUAAUCAGAAAGCCACGGCUAACUACGUG
rnacentral:rRNA from 1 species